rnacentral:snRNA from 1 species
GUGCUCGCUUCGGCAGCACAUAUACGAAAAUUGGAAUGAUACAGAGAAGUAUGCAUGGCCCCUGCGCAAGGAUGACAUGCAAAUUCGUGAAGUGUUCCAUAUUUUU